UACGUAGGUGGCAAGCGUUAUCCGGAAUUAUUGGGCGUAAAGCGCUCGCAGGCGGUUUUUUAAGUCUGAUGUGAAAGCCCACGGCUCAACCGUGGAGGGUCAUUGGAAACUGGGAGACUUGAGUGCAGAAGAGGAGAGUGGAAUUCCACGUGUAGCGGUGAAAUGCGUAGAGAUGUGGAGGAACACCAGUGGCGAAGGCGGCUUGCUGGGCGUGAUCUGACGCUGAGGCGCGAAAGCGUGGGGAGCGAACAGG
rnacentral:rRNA from 1 species